CCUACGGGAGGCUGCAGUGAGGAAUAUUGGUCAAUGGGCGCGAGCCUGAACCAGCCAAGUCGCGUGAGGGAAGACGGCCCUACGGAUUGUAAACCUCUUUUGCCGGGGAGCAACGGCCGCCACGUGUGCCCCCAGUGAGAGUACCCGCAGAAUAAGCAUCGGCUAACUCCGUGCCAGCAGCCGCGGUAAUACGGAGGAUGCGAGCGUUAUCCGGAUUUAUUGGGUUUAAAGGGUGCGUAGGCGGAGUGUUAAGUCAGUGGUAAAAUGGAGGGGCUCAACCCCGUCCGGCCGUUGAAACUGGGGAGCUUGAGUGGACGAGAAGUAUGCGGAAUGCGUGGUGUAGCGGUGAAAUGCAUAGAUAUCACGCAGAACCCCGAUUGCGAAGGCAGCAUGCCGGCGCCCUACUGACGCUGAGGCACGAAAGCGUGGGGAUCGAACAGGAUUAGAUACCCUAGUAGUC
rnacentral:rRNA from 1 species